CAGCGCCACGGGAAUACGGAGGGUGCAAGCGUUAAUCGGAAUUACUGGGCGUAAAGCGCACGCAGGCGGUCUGUCAAGUCAGAUGUGAAAUCCCCGGGCUUAACCUGGGAACUGCAUUUGAAACUGGCAGGCUAGAGUCUUGUAGAGGGGGGUAGAAUUCCAGGUGUAGCGGUGAAAUGCGUAGAGAUCUGGAGGAAUACCGGUGGCGAAGGCGGCCCCCUGGACAAAGACUGACGCUCAGGUGCGAAAGCGUGGGGAGCAAACAGGAUUAGAUACCCCGGUAGUCCCUGUCUCUUAUACC
rnacentral:rRNA from 1 species